UACGUAGGGUGCGAGCGUUAAUCGGAAUUACUGGGCGUAAAGCGUGCGCAGGCGGUCCGCAAAGUCUGAUGUGAAAGCCCCGGGCUCAACCUGGGAACUGCAUUGGAAACUAACGGGCUCGAGUGUGGCAGAGGGGGGUGGAAUUCCACGUGUAGCAGUGAAAUGCGUAGAGAUGUGGAGGAACACCGAUGGCGAAGGCAGCCCCCUGGGUCAACACUGACGCUCAUGCACGAAAGCGUGGGGGGCAAACAGG
rnacentral:rRNA from 1 species